UAAUAGUGUAUAUUAAAGUUGCUGCAGUUAAAAAGCUCGUAGUUGAAUGUUGGUGUCGAACGAGCGGUCAGCUUCGGCUGUACUGCUCUCUCGACUCCUUCCUUCUGUGGACUACGUCGCACUUUACUGUGUGGCGCUAGGACGCAGAUCGUUUACUGUGAAAAAAUUAGAGUGUUCAAAGCAGGCCGUACGCUUGAAUACAUUAGCAUGGAAUAAUGGAAUAGGACGUCGGGCCUAUUUUGUUGGUUCUAGGACCGUCGUAAUGAUUAAUAGGGACAGUUGGGGCCGUUUAUAUUCCGUAGUCAGAGGUGAAAUUCUUGGAUUUACGGAAGAUAAACUACUGCGAAAGCAUUCGGCAAGGAUGUUUNCGUUAA
rnacentral:rRNA from 1 species